rnacentral:snRNA from 1 species
GCCUCUGGUCGAUGGAAC